rnacentral:rRNA from 1 species
AUUGAACGCUGGCGGAAUGCUUUACACAUGCAAGUCGAACGGUAGAGGGGGCAACCCCUCGAGAGUGGCGAACGGGUGAGUAAUAUAUCGGAACGUGCCCAGUCGUGGGGGAUAACGUAGCGAAAGUUACGCUAAUACCGCAUACGAUCUAAGGAUGAAAGCGGGGGAUCGCAAGACCUCGCGCGAUUGGAGCGGCCGAUAUCAGAUUAGGUAGUUGGUGGGGUAAAGGCUCACCAAGCCAACGAUCUGUAGCUGGUCUGAGAGGACGACCAGCCACACUGGAACUGAGACACGGUCCAGACUCCUAAGGGAGGCAGCAGUGGGGAAUUUUGGACAAUGGACGCAAGUCUGAUCCAGCCAUUCCGCGUGCAGGAUGAAGGCCCUCGGGUUGUAAACUGCUUUUGUACGGAACGAAAAGGUCUCUCUUAAUACGGGGGGCUCAUGACGGUACCGUAAGAAUAAGCACCGGCUAACUACGUGCCAGCAGCCGCAGUAA